AACGCACCUUGCGCUCUUGGGUAUUCCCAAGAGCAUGCCUGUUGGAGUGUCAUGAAUCCUCUUCCCCACAUGUUUUUAACAUGCGGCGAAGGAUGUGAGCGCUGGUCUUUGGUGACCUCGCUUGAAAUGGAGGAGUGGGCUUUGCGAUACGCGCGAGCGCCGAAUCAUCGUUAUGAUUUCUUAUCGAUGACUGUAGGCUGCGAGCGAGUGGAGCAGUUGAAGCACCGCUUUCGAACCCCAUCUACACACAUCUGGCCUCCAAUCAGGUAGGACUACCCGCUGAACUUAA
rnacentral:misc_RNA from 1 species